UGAGUAACACGUGAAGAAACCUGCCCCGAAGUCUGGGAUAACCCGAGGAAACUCGAGCUAAUACCGGAUGUCUUCUCUGAUCGCAUGGUCGGAUGAAGAAAGAUUUAUCGCUUCGGGAGGGUCUCGCGGCCUAUCAGCUAGUUGCGGGGUAACGGCCCACCAAGGCGUCGACGGGUAGCUGGUCUGAGAGGACGAUCAGCCACACUGGGACUGAGACACGGCCCAGACUCCUACGGGAGGCAGCAGUGGGGAAUAUUGCGCAAUGGGCGAAAGCCUGACGCAGCAACGCCGCGUGCGGGAUGAAGGCCUUCGGGUUGUAAACCGCUUUCAGUGGGGACGAAUUCAGACGGUACCCACAGAAGAAGCCCCGGCCAACUACGUG
rnacentral:rRNA from 1 species